CAACUUUCAGCAACGGAUCUCUUGGCUCUCGCAUCGAUGAAGAACGCAGCGAAAUGCGAUAAGUAAUGUGAAUUGCAGAAUUCAGUGAAUCAUCGAAUCUUUGAACGCAACUUGCACCCCUUGGCAUUCCGAGGGGUACGCCUGUUUGAGUGUCGUGA
rnacentral:rRNA from 1 species